rnacentral:rRNA from 1 species
GUGGGGAAUCUUAGACAAUGGGGGAAACCCUGAUCUAGCCAUGCCGCGUGAGCGAUGAAGGCCUUAGGGUUGUAAAGCUCUUUCAGCUGGGAAGAUAAUGACGGUACCAGCAGAAGAAGCCCCGGCUAACUCCGUGCCAGCAGCCGCGGUAAUACGGAGGGGGCUAGCGUUGUUCGGAAUUACUGGGCGUAAAGCGCACGUAGGCGGACUGGAAAGUCAGGGGUGAAAUCCCGGGGCUCAACCCCGGAACUGCCUUUGAAACUCUCAGUCUUGAGUUCGAGAGAGGUGAGUGGAAUUCCGAGUGUAGAGGUGAAAUUCGUAGAUAUUCGGAGGAACACCAGUGGCGAAGGCGGCUCACUGGCUCGAUACUGACGCUGAGGUGCGAAAGCGUGGGGAGCAAACAGGAUUAGAUACCCCAGUAGUCC